GAUGAACGCUGGCGGCGUGCCUAAUACAUGCAAGUCGAGCGAACGGACGAGAAGCUUGCUUCUCUGAUGUUAGCGGCGGACGGGUGAGUACACGUGGAUAACCUACCUAUAAGACUGGGAUAACUUCGGGAAACCGGAGCUAAUACCGGAUAAUAUUUUGAACCGCAUGGUUCAAAAGUGAAAGACGGUCUUGCUGUCACUUAUAGAUGGAUCCGCGCUGCAUUAGCUAGUUGGUAAGGUAACGGCUUACCAAGGCAACGAUGCAUAGCCGACCUGAGAGGGUGAUCGGCCACACUGGAACUGAGACACGGUCCAGACUCCUACGGGAGGCAGCAGUAGGGAAUCUUCCGCAAUGGGCGAAAGCCUGACGGAGCAACGCCGCGUGAGUGAUGAAGGUCUUCGGAUCGUAAAACUCUGUUAUUAGGGAAGAACAUAUGUGUAAGUAACUGUGCACAUCUUGACGGUACCUAAUCAGAAAGCCACGGCUAACUACGU
rnacentral:rRNA from 1 species